rnacentral:rRNA from 1 species
CCUACGGGUGGCUGCAGUGAGGAAUAUUGGUCAAUGGCCGGAAGGCUGAACCAGCCACGCCGCGUGAAGGACGAAGGUGCCAAGCAUUGUAAACUUCUUUUGUCAAGGGACAAAAUCAGGCUCGAGAGCCUGACCGUGGGUACUUGAAGAAAAAGCAUCGGCUAACUCCGUGCAAGCAGCCGCGGUAAUACGGAGGAUUCGAGCGUUAUCCGGAUUUAUUGGGGUAAAGGGGUGCGUAGGCGUGCUGUUAAGCCAGCGGUAAAAGCCCGGGGCUCAACCUCGGCGAGCCGUUGAAACUGGCUGUCUUGAGAUGUCGAGAGGUAAGCGGAAUGCGCAGUGUAGCGGUGAAAUGCUUAGAUAUUACGCAGAACACCGAUUGCGAAGGCAGCAUGCCGGCGGCGAUCUGACGCUGAGGCACGAAAGCGUGGGUAGCGAACAGGAUUAGAUACCCCAGUAGUC